GGCAACGGCGGCGGGGCUAGGAAAAUUGCUGCCUGGGUCGGCUGGGCCUGUAGGCCUGCGUCCGGCAGCGCGCGGCCGUGCUUUCUAAGCGGGCUCGGCAGCACCAGACUUCACCGGCCCGGCGCGGGGCUCACAAGUGCUCGCACUCCCUGCGGCCGGCGCGCUGACCGGAGCAUCUGGGUCUCGCACGCAGCAGCUGCAGACGCUGCCCGGCGCGGUGGGGCUGUGAGGAAAACGGCCCGCUGGUGUGGUUGCCCAGACUGUGCUGGGCCCUCCUAGGUGGAUGGCCCUGCCCCAGCCUAACUUCUGUACCCCAGCAUAACCUCCAAAGUAACAGCCGUGCCCUGGGAGCCUGUUCAACACUGAACAUAUCCCACAAUAACACUGUUCCAGCGUCGCUGGUAAAAAGCAGAAAUGGCUUCGAUGUUUCUGGAUGAGAUUAGCAUUCAAAUUCGUGGACUUAUUAAAGUAGAUGGCCCUCUCCAAUAUGGGUGGGCAUCAUCCAAUCUGUUGAAGGCGUGAAGAGAACAAGAGAAGGAGGAAGGAAGAAUUCACCUUUUUUCUUGCUGCCCACCUGCUUGGGCUGGGACAUUGCAUCUCACCUUCUCCAGCCUUUGGAUGAGGAUUUACACCCUGGUUCUCAGGCCUUCAGGCUCUAACUGGAGCUACACUAUCAACUUUCCUGGGCCUCCAGAUUGCAGAUGGUGGAUCACGGUACUUUUUAGCCUCCAUCAUAAUAUGAGAAAAAAGAGGCACAGUGAAGCUAAAUAUAUUGGCUAAAGAUCACAAAGCUAAUAUCGCUCUUUUCUCUGAAAUUUGCCUGGGGCCGCAGCAUAAAUCUACAGUUACAACCAUGAAGAUAGAAGUUGCUCAUUAAUUCAGAGGGCAGGAACUUGUGAACAUAACUGUUAGAAGAUUAUCAAGGUUAUCUGUGCUCAAUGUGUGCAUCUCAGAUCAGCAGCAUCAGCAUCACCUGGGAGCUUGUUAGAGAUGGAGACUCUCAGGCUCCACGGCAGACUUCCUGAAUCAGAAGCUACAAUUUAACAGGAUCCUCGGGUGAUCUGAAAAUGCAAUAAAGUUUGGGAAGCACUGCUGUUGGUCAUUAGACAAUCUAAUGAACUAAGACUUUUGCCGAGCAUCUGAGUUGAAAUUUUUCAAGAUGAAAAGUUGCUAAAGAAAGAGAAAGGGAAGCGGUUUGCUCCAGUAUUCCUCUUUCCACCUUCCCACUGACUGGGAAGCAGCGGUUAGCAGAGCCACAGCCUUGGAUUAGAGAUAAGAGGGACGUGUUGAGGAAGGUGGAGUCUCCCCCACAGCCCUGGACCAGAAAUUAGUUGAUAACGUCUUCCAGGAGACCUACGGCCAUCCUACUGAUAUGAACCAGAUCAUACCUGCCCUGAUGGGAUGCCAGAGAAAGACUGCUGCAAGGUACUCGCCACUCACAGACCUCUCCGUUUAUCUCACUGAUGCAAAGGACCCUGAGUAGGGCUCCUCUGGAAACAGAACAGAGGGAAGAAGAUACCUUCCUUGAAGCCCAGAUGUUCCAGAAGCCUGCGCCUCAUUCACAAAGUCACCCCAAAAAUGCCCUAGAGUUUGGAGUUUUGAAGAAGUGGGAAGAAGGCCUGAGUAAGGGCCUGGGAACCAAGUUAGAUCCUGCUUCAGCAUCAGCACAUGCCAGCGAUGGUGCACACAGGUGGAGAGCGGCCUGCCUGUCUUUUCCAUGGUGCCCACAGACCCAUUUAGGAUGAAAGAUCAGAAAAUUCUCUCCAUGUCACCGCUUCUGAAACAUGUGAAUAUUAAUAUUUGGUGCCUAAAAGGUCAUGGCAAAUUUUCGUUGGUUUUAUCUUAUUCAUGAUUAUAGAGUUGAAAGAAUACAUAUUCCCAUGGGGAUCAAUGAAGACAUUCUCAUUUUGAAUGAAGUAGAAUAUAAGUUGUAAAGAUAUAGAAUUUUCCUGAACUGAACCUUGAACCAAAAAUCCCCUCAAUUACCCUGGAACUAAACACAGUCCCUGAAGAUAAAAAGGAGUUUCAGGAUGCCACAGGGCUGUCUGUGCAGUAUGGGGCUGCUUGCUGCAUCUCUGGUAUCUGAGGCAGAUAGGCUACUCAGGCCCCUCUCUGGUCUUAAGGUGGGCUGGCUGAGAUGUCAGUUUCUUCCUCAGUGACAGCUUGGGUACAGUAUGUGUAAACUGAUUGUCAGCUGAGCUGAAGGGACUCUGCCCAUAUUGGAGUGUUCUACAAGAAGAGGUGUCAAACAUAAAGGUCUAAAAUGACUAUGAAAGGAGUAUUGGAAACCACUGGGACAAUUGUGAUCACAACUGGUGGUAGCCUUCUAGUUUGGGUGAGAAAGACAGAAAGAAGGAAGAUGUGUUAGUCAGGGUUCUCUAGAGGGACAGAACUAAUAGGAUAUAUGUAUAUAUGAGAGGCAGUUUAUUAAGGAGAAUUGACUCACGUGAUCACAAGCUAAAGUCCCAAGAUAGGCUGUCUGCAAGUUGAGGAGCGAGGAAGUCAUUGGUGGAUUGUUCUGGGUACCAAAACCUCAAAAGUAGGGAAAUCGACAGUGCAGCCUUCAAUCUGUGGUCAAAGGCUCGAGGGGCCCUGGCAGACCAAUGGUGUAAGUCCAAGAGUCCCAGAAGCUGAAGAACUUGGAGUCUGAUGUUUGAGGGCAGGAAGCAUCCAGCACAGGAGAAAGACGGAUGCUGGAAGACUUAGCAAGUCUGUUCUUUCCAAUUUCUUCUGCCUGCUUUUAUUCUAGCCAUGCUGGCAGCUGAUUAGAUGGUGCCCACCCAAAUUGAGGGUGGCUGUGCUUCUCCCAGUCCACUGACUCAAAUGUUAAUCUCCUUUGGCAACACCCUUACAGACACACCCAGGAACAAUACUUUGCAUCCUUCAUUCCAAUCAAGUUGACACUCAAUAUUAACCAUCACAGAAGGAGAACUUCAGGCUGAGUCCAAACACUAUGGCCCCAGCCCCAGCUUCCCCUUUCUGGGUUGAAUAACCAGACUGAGCCUAAGAAAAGGAAAAGAGUUGACUUUCUCCCAAAAGGCCUGCAGCGGGUUAGAAGGCAAUGGUUUGGGGACCAUACUGAGUGCCUAGGAUGCUCUGGACCACAAAGCUUGAAGUCAAAUUGUUCAUGCACUUGUUUCAUGAUAGAAAGAGAGAGAGAGAGAGAGAGAGAGAGAAAUUUCCUUUCCUUGAAGAAUGGCAAAACACGUCUCUUGUUCUGGGGGCUAUAUCUUGAAGGGUAUCUGAUCUCCCCCUCAUGGGAGGAACUAGAAUGCCCUAAGGCAGCCGUGGCUCCUGGAGCUGAGAGAUCUUUCUGACACUUUGUGAGAGCUGCAAGGCUAAGUCUGGAGCCAGAAAAGUCCAUGUGGACAAGUGCAGAGCAAGCAGAUCUGAGACACAUGUGGGAGCAAGCUGGACAUGUCCAAAAAUCAGAGGAAGCAAGAGCAGACAUGCAUGAGCAGGCAGAUGAGGCUGGUGCCCAGGCAGCAGGCUGAGGCUCUGGCUGGGCUUUGGAUGCUCCUGAGAGUCCAGUUAGAGACCAGUGAGCAAACUCACAGUGAACUCUUAUUCCUCACGCAGCAGGACGAGGGAUUAAGCACAAAGCCUUAAAGGUCUGAGUGUCUCUUUAUCCUGACCUCAGGAAAGAGAGGCAAGUAUCAUGUUUCUAAAAGUCUGAGAAGUCUUCACAUGACAGCCUACACCAAAAGAACUCAAAUGCACAUCCACUGCAUACACGCAUGUGUGCACACAUAUACAUGUGUACACAUGCAUGCCCACACACAACCCUCUGGAAGAGGAAGUAAAGAGACUUUAUGUUUUCAGCCCCUCUUGAGGAAACUUAAACUAAGUCUUUCUGUGGGGUUAGUGGUGGAGACAGAGAGGGUCUGGGGUCACCGAGGCCGAGGUGGCUGGACCCAGAGGGUAGAGCUGAGGGGAUCCCCUGAGACUGGGAAGAUGGAGCAGAAGCAGAUGGCAGAUGGCAGCAGGUGAGAGCAGACUGGAUUUCUCCUAAAUCACCAGAUCCAGCCAACCUUUCUUUCCUUAGGGACACCUCCAGAUCCCAUUCCAAAUGAACUCUUUCUCUGACCUUUCACCUCAAUUCAGAAUUUGGGAAAUUUAGCCAUGAUCUUAGGAACACAGAGGCUUGAAACAAUCUUUUCUAACCACCCGUUUGUUCAGACUGUGUAAGUUCUGCUUCUGCAUCCAGUGUCAAGACCCAAGAACCAUUUUAAAGGGGAGCCAUCCUUUGAAAUUAAACUUCUUUUAAUAAUAAAGACAGAUUUCAGGGUUGACAUAAAAGAUAGCCACAAUAAAGCCAAUCCUCCAGUGUAUAACAUUUUUCAAAGUUUCCUUCCUCUUCAUUGCUGGUGUUCAUGUACAGUCUAGAGUUAGUCUACAUUAAAUUAUAGAUUGUUUUCAGCAAUAAUGCAAACAUUUGGAAGCCUUCAAACUCUCUGAUAACUAACUUCUACAUUCUCUCUGCUAUUAUUAUAUAGAAAGGGAAAUUUUACCUGAUGCUGUUAAACUCCUCACGAACAUAGUGAUCCGAAUUGGCUGAAGUGGAAAACUAAAUGUUAGUUGAUUUUCAAAACAAGAUUUCCACUCUGAAUUCCCAUUUUUCACAUGUGAUCAUAUGCCUUGUUGUGAAUUUGAACUAAAAAGAAAAUCCAUGCCCACUGGAUUAAUGCUAGAAGAUAAUCUAGAGCAUAGUAAUUUCUUAGACUUCACUUUAUUAGCCACUAAACUUGGAAUGAUUAUUUCUACGUUCAAUUAUUAAGUCUAUAUCUCCAUUUCUUAAAAAGGUCUGAGGCAGCCCCUUUGAAUAUUAAUAUGCAUUUAUUUUCAUCUCUCAAAUAAAAAAAAUAGUUCACAG